rnacentral:tRNA from 2 species
GCGGUGGUAGCUCAGUUGGUUAGAGUACCGGCCUGUCACGCCGGGGUCGCGGGUUCGAGCCCCGUCCGCCGCGCCA